UACGAAGGGGGCUAGCGUUGCCUCGGAAUCACUGGGCGUAAAGGGUGCGUAGGCGGGUCUUUAAGUCAGAGGUGAAAUCCUGGAGCUCAACUCCAGAACUGCCUUUGAUACUGAGGAUCUUGAGUAUGGGAGAGGUGAGUGGAACUGCGAGUGUAGAGGUGAAAUUCGUAGAUAUUCGCAAGAACACCAGUGGCGAAGGCGGCUCACUGGCCCAUUACUGACGCUGAGGCACGAAAGCGUGGGGAGCAAACAGG
rnacentral:rRNA from 1 species